rnacentral:rRNA from 1 species
GACAGAGGGUGCAAACGUUGUUCGGAAUUACUGGGCGUAAAGCGUGUGUAGGCGGCUCUGCAAGUCGGAUGUGAAGGCCCCGGGCUCAACCUGGGAAGUGCAUUCGAAACUGCUGAGCUUGAGUAUCGGAGAGGUUGGUGGAAUUCUCGGUGGAGAGGUGAAAUUCGUAGAUAUCGAGGGGAACACCAGUGGCGAAGGCGGCCAACUGGACGAAUACUGACGCUGAGACACGAAAGCGUGGGGAGCAAACAGG